rnacentral:rRNA from 1 species
GAUGAACGCUGGCGGCGUGCUUAACACAUGCAAGUCGAACGGGAAACCUUUUAUUGAAGCUUCGGCAGAUUUAGCUGGUUUCUAGUGGCGGACGGGUGAGUAACGCGUGGGUAACCUGCCUUAUACAGGGGGAUAACAGUCAGAAAUGGCUGCUAAUACCGCAUAGGCGCACAGAGCUGCAUGGCUCAGUGUGAAAAACUCCGGUGGUAUAAGAUGGACCCGCGUUGGAUUAGCUGGUUGGUGGGGUAACGGCCCACCAAGGCGACGAUCCAUAGCCGGCCUGAGAGGGUGAACGGCCACAUUGGGACUGAGACACGGCCCAGACUCCUACGGGAGGCAGCAGUGGGGAAUAUUGCACAAUGGGGGAAACCCUGAUGCAGCGACGCCGCGUGAAGGAAGAAGUAUCUCGGUAUGUAAACUUCUAUCAGCAGGGAAGAUAAUGACGGUACCUGACUAAGAAGCCCCGGCUAACUACGUG